rnacentral:rRNA from 1 species
AUACCUGCAGCUCAAGUGGUGGCCGCUAUUAUUGGGCCUAAAACGUCCGUAGCCGGUUUAGUAAAUGCUUGGGUAAAUUGUGUAGCUUAACUAUACGAAUACCGGGUAGACUGCUAAACUUGGGACCGGGAGAGGCUAGAGGUACUCCUAGGGUAGAGGUGAAAUUCUGUAAUCCUAGGGGGACCACCAGUGGCGAAGGCGUCUAGCUAGAACGGGUCUGACGGUGAGGGACGAAGCCCUGGGGCGCAAACCGGAUUAGAUACCCGAGUAGUCC